AGUGAACGCUGGCGGUAGGCCUAACACAUGCAAGUCGAACGGCAGCACAGUAAGAGCUUGCUCUUACGGGUGGCGAGUGGCGGACGGGUGAGGAAUACAUCGGAAUCUACUUUUUCGUGGGUGAUAACGUAGGGAAACUUACGCUAAUACCGCAUACGACCUACGGGUGAAAGCAGUGGAUCUUCGGACCUUGCGCGAUUGAAUGAGCCGAUGUCGGAUUAGCUAGUUGGCGGGGUAAAGGCCCACCAAGGCGACGAUCCGUAGCUGGUCUGAGAGGAUGAUCAGCCACACUGGAACUGAGACACGGUCCAGACUCCUACGGGAGGCAGCAGUGGGGAAUAUUGGACAAUGGGCGCAAGCCUGAUCCAGCAAUACCGCGUGGGUGAAGAAGGCCUUCGGGUUGUAAAGCCCUUUUGUUGGGAAAGAAAAGCAGCAGGUUAAUACCCCGCUGUUCUGACGGUACCCAAAGAAUAAGCACCGGCUAACUUCGUG
rnacentral:rRNA from 1 species